rnacentral:rRNA from 1 species
CAACGCGAAAAACCUUACCUACCCUUGACAUGUCCAGAAUCCUGCAGAGAUGCGGGAGUGCCCGAAAGGGAAUUGGAACACAGGUGCUGCAUGGCUGUCGUCAGCUCGUGUCGUGAGAUGUUGGGUUAAGUCCCGCAACGAGCGCAACCCUUAUCAUUAGUUGCUACGCAAGGGCACUCUAAUGAGACUGCCGGUGACAAACCGGAGGAAGGUGGGGAUGACGUCAAGUCCUCAUGGCCCUUAUGGGUAGGGCUUCACACGUCAUACAAUGGUCGGUACAGAGGGUUGCCAAGCCGCGAGGUGGAGCCAAUCCCAGAAAGCCGAUCGUAGUCCGGAUUGUUCUCUGCAACUCGAGAGCAUGAAGUCGGAAUCGCUAGUAAUCGCGGAUCAGAAUGUCGCGGUGAAUACGUUCCCGGGUCUUGUACACACCGCCCGUCACACCAUGGGAGUGGAAUCUGCCAGAAGUAGGUAGCCUAACCGCAAGGAGGGCGCUUACCACGGUGGGUUUCAUG